GUGGGGAAUAUUGGACAAUGGGCGAAAGCCUGAUCCAGCCAUGCCGCGUGAGUGAUGAAGGCCCUAGGGUUGUAAAGCUCUUUCAACGGUGAAGAUAAUGACGGUAACCGUAGAAGAAGCCCCGGCUAACUUCGUGCCAGCAGCCGCGGUAAUACGAAGGGGGCUAGCGUUGUUCGGAAUUACUGGGCGUAAAGCGCACGUAGGCGGAUUGUUUAGUGAGUGGUGAAAUCCCAGGGCUCAACCCUGGAACUGCCUCUCAUACUGGCAAUCUCGAGUCCGGAAGAGGUGAGUGGAAUUCCGAGUGUAGAGGUGAAAUUCGUAGAUAUUCGGAGGAACACCAGUGGCGAAGGCGGCUCACUGGUCCGGUACUGACGCUGAGGUGCGAAAGCGUGGGGAGCAAACAGGAUUAGAAACCCUAGUAGUCC
rnacentral:rRNA from 1 species